CUACUUUCUUCACACUUCUUCCUCUGAAUUCGUAUUCAAUACCUAUCAACACACAAGACUCAAUAACAUCCAUAACUAUGGAGUUACAGAUUCCUGAAUCCGAAUGUAAUGUUGCAUUCGAUGAAAAUACAUU